rnacentral:misc_RNA from 1 species
ACCGAUGAUGGUGACUACAACAUCAAGCUGCGCAACCUGAUCAAGUUCCUGGAAGAGGGCGACAAGACCAAGAUCACCCUGCGUUUCCGCGGCCGUGAAAUGGCCCACCAGGACAUCGGCAUGCGCAUGCUCGAGCGUCUGAAAAUGGACCUGGAGCCGCAUGGCCAGGUCGAGCAGUUUCCUAAGAUGGAAGGCCGCCAGAUGAUCAUGGUGCUGGCGCCUAAGAAAAAGAAGUAAUUGCCGCUUUGGCAAAGAAGGCAGACGUCAGUCUGCCUUUUUUAUUUCCUGGACAGACAUUGAUGCCUU